GGAUGUGAGGGCAAUCUCGGUGUGACAUCUGUCACCCCAUGGAUCACUAGGGUUGAUUCAACUGACCUGGCUGGCUAGGCAGGUGUCCUCUUCUUCCUUCACUGUUCCAUGUGUGUCCCUCCUGAAGCUGUGUGCUUGAUCAAAGUGGACAGCCUUCCACAAUAGAGGCGGACUAUUCUUUGGUCAAGGCUAUAUUGGUUGCUGUGCUCCCCUGCAAGAAUUUCCAGCAAACUUUUUCAAAGUUAUUGUGAAUUAUAUAAUAUGAUUUCAAAGAAAAGGAAACAUUUGGAAAACGUCCUUU
ensembl:misc_RNA 7SK 7SK RNA